rnacentral:rRNA from 1 species
CGGACGGGUGAGUAAUGCUUGGGAAUCUGGCUUAUGGAGGGGGAUAACUACGGGAAACUGUAGCUAAUACCGCGUAAUAUCUUCGGAUUAAAGGGUGGGACUUUCGGGCCACCUGCCAUAAGAUGAGCCCAAGUGGGAUUAGGUAGUUGGUGGGGUAAAGGCCUACCAAGCCGACGAUCUCUAGCUGGUCUGAGAGGAUGACCAGCCACACUGGAACUGAGACACGGUCCAGACUCCUACGGGAGGCAGCAGUGGGGAAUAUUGCACAAUGGGGGGAACCCUGAUGCAGCCAUGCCGCGUGAAUGAAGAAGGCCUUCGGGUUGUAAAGUUCUUUCGGUGAUGAGGAAGGUGUUUGUUUUAAUAGAACAAGCAAUUGACGUUAGUCACAGAAGAAGCACCGGCUAACUCCGUGCCAGCAGCCGCGGUAAUACGGAGGGUGCGAGCGUUAAUCGGAAUGACUGGGCGUAAAGGGCACGCAGGCGGUGACUUAAGUGAGAUGUGAAAGCCCCGAGCUUAACUUGGGAAUUGCAUUUCAUACUGGGUCGCUAGAGUAUUUUAGGGAGGGGUAGAAUUCCACGUGUAGCGGUGAAAUGCGUAGAGAUGUGGAGGAAUACCGAAGGCGAAGGCAGCCCCUUGGGAAUAUACUGACGCUCAUGUGCGAAAGCGUGGGGAGCAAACAGGAUUAGAUACCCUGGUAGUCCACGCUGUAAACGCUGUCGAUUUGGGGAUUGGGCUUAGAGCUUGGUGCCCGUAGCUAACGU